UUUCAACUUUACCUAUACGCUUUUAGCUAUAUUGAGUGGACAAAACUUACCGGAGCGGUAGGUCAGUCUGUGCGUUCAGUCCGUUGCAUUUUGCGCAUCCAUGUCGUGUUCCUGCGUUGUGCUAGGACACAGGCACUUUGUUUUCGUUGUGGUAUAUACAUUUCACAAUUGAAACACCUUUUAAAACAUAGAAAUACCACGUAUUAACAGUAUGAUUUCGAUAAAACCGAGCAGUUGUUUAUUUCAGCGGUAGACACUGACGGCUGUCAAUGUCAUUUGGUUUUUUUGUCCAUGGUUCCGUAACAGAUGGUCGGUCACACUUGUUGUACGACAAUAAACAUAUACUUGUGGUUCUUUUAUCUUUUUAUAAUUUCCAAUUAUUAAUAAAGUCCGUAUUAUUUGCUUCCCAAAAUGAGUAACUCUUUUUAUUGUUGAUGUUUCGAAUUAUUCCGAGGGUCAAACCGGUCAGUCGCCGUAUCCAUUGAAUGGGUAGGUUUUCAUUCAUCAGUUUGUCUAUGGUUUCUCGGAUUGGAAUUUUGAUAAAUCAUUGUUCGAUCGAUCUUCAAGAUGUGAAGGAUAUUAGAAAAUCUUUCGGCAAUCAAUCUUAGGGGUAUGUAACCUACUUGAAGGUUUUAUUUCCUAAAACUGUGGUAAAUUCAAGUUAGUAAUCGUUAAUGUAAUUUUGUUACAGCUCGUCCCAAAAUGUGCAUAAUUUAGCGUCUUAGAGCCUACCUAAAAUGGCGGCUGCUAAUCUUUUUCCUUCAAUUUAACAUAACUUGCAAAACCUAAUGUAACGUCAACCACCUCUUCGUUUUGUCACGCGGUCUGCAGGCGCCGUCGUUGGUAUAGGAAAUAAUGGACCCGGCAUAAACCCCGGUAAGUCGUUUAAUCGCUUCAUUGCCGUAAUUUAAAUCGCGCUGUGCCUCAGUUUAAAAUAUAAUUUUUCUAUAAAACUAAACGUGUUAAAACAUAAUUUUUUUUAACCUAGAACAUUCUCUUUGUUCUUAGGGUUUUUUUCUGGACCCUGGUUUUUUCCUGGACCCUGGUUUUUUCUGGACCCUGGUUUUCUAAGGCUGUGCCAUCCGGUGGCAGCGUUCUUCUUGGCAGUGUCCGUGAAGUUAAGACUUUUAUGAUAUACCUUUAGUUAAAUAUGGACCCUUUAUGCUGAACAGGUAACCUGUAAUCCCUGUGAGCAAUUGCUUACUGCUAAACAUCCCCGGAGGUUGGGGCAUAACUUUUACUGUAGACAGUGUUAUGUUAGUAAGACAAAUUUUGAUAUUGUUGUCCGUAGACACAGAGAUGCCUAUGAUGUAUUAAGUGUAAAUUUCAAGAAAUAGUGUUGUCACUAAGAAGUAUUUAGUAUUACUUAUUUACUAAUAAUAACUCGUGUUGACCGUAGCGGGUCAUAUAUAUUUUAGGAAUAAAGGUGUAUAUUAAAUAAAUUUGGGAUUUUCAUUUGGAUAUGUCAUGCGCUUGAUGAGAGUAGUAUCCUGGCGUCCUACCUUAAAUUUUUGGAUACCUAUUCUCACUCCAUAGUGGCCUGAACCACGACCCUAUCUAUGAUUGUAGUUAGCCGAAGGUAUUUGUGAACUUUUCAGUAGUGAAGUUUGGUGAGUUCUGGAUCACUCCAUAGAAACACGUUUCCUUCUAUGGAAACGGUCUUUAACAAUAAUAGAAUCAGAUCUUCUCCAUAUCCAGGGCUCACCCACACCUAUUACAGUGGUAUGCCCAACGUAUGGCCUAUGGAGUAUGACAUGUCCAAGUGAAACAUUUUUGCAUUAUUUUAGUAUUAAGGUUAUUUUAUGUAAAAGGGAUUGCAAGUUAUUGUUUUAAAUUGUUGCUUGAGUUGGAGGUUAAACUUAUAAAUUUAACCAACUUAUAAAUAAAACUAUACUACGCUAAAUAAUUAGCCUUACAUAAGAGAAAUUUUCUCACUAUUUUAAAAUACUUUAAAAGGGUUAAAAUCUAAUAAAGUUUUAACUUACUUUAAAAUAUUACAAUUCAAAACUUGACACUGACUUACUUCUGAUAUUAAAUAUCAAUCUUAAAAAAUGGAUUUCCUAAAUGCGGGAUGUAAAAUCAUACAUUUACAUAAAGACGAAAUGGCACAUGAACUGGCGAUUCGCAGACUUCCGGUUAAUCCUGUAUCGCGUCGGUCCAGCUUAUGUCAUGCGUUAAAACAGACUGCAGAUUUAGCCAAAAAGGGUAGUUUGAAGUGCCAGGACUUGUUAAUAAGUAACGAAGUUGCCGAAUUGGAGCUCUGCCAACGUAAGGUAGAGGAAAUAGAUUUAGAAGCGAAAGGAGACUUAACGGCGUCGGCGAUUGAUAGACUAUCCUCGCGAUGCAAAUAUCUGUUGUGUCGUGUUUCACGGUUACCUCAGGAAACCGAAGCGGUACUUCUGUUGAAAACAUUAAUUACUUCUUUAUUAGAUCGGUUGAAUGAGCAAGGCUCUUCUGCGUCGUCUGGGUCAGAUGAUGAUUUUCAAUCUCCUAACGAAUCUCGUUUUGUUAGGGAAAUUAUAUAUAAAGCGGGUGUCUGAAUAACCUACUCUUUUUCCCAACUUUAAGAUUGAAAAUGAUAAACUCUUCCGUUACUCUAAGAAUAAGUAUCGUCUGACAGCUCAAUUUGACUGGAAGCUGGUACUUCCUUAUGAGCAUCGUAAUGAAGUCCUAAAUAAGUGUCAUGAUGAUCCUACAGCAGGUCAUUUUGGCGUGGGUAAAACUCAUUCCAAAAUAGCCGACAUAUAUUAUUGGCCUACUUUAUUUCAGGACGUGAAGGAAUACGUCGACUCUUGUGAAAUUUGUAAAACUUAUAAACCUGUUAACUUAGCUCGUCCUGGUUUGAUGGGUAAUCCACGACGUGUAUCGUCGCCAGGCGAAGCAAUAUCUUGUGAUAUUCUUGGUCCCUUUCCUCCAUCUUAUCUGAGAAAUCAGUAUCUCUUCGUAUGUGCUGAUUAUUUCAGUAAGUAUGUGACUUUGUUUCCACUACGCAACAUAACUGCUAAAGCUAUUGUUAAGUGUAUGGAAAAAGGGAUAUUCCUUAUACAUGGGGUUCCUAAAUAUAUAUUCUGCGACAAUGGUGUUCAAUUUACUUCCAAAGACUUUCGAGACCUAAUGUCCAAAUAUGAUGUCCCUCAUAUUUUCUAUAACCCUAGGUAUCAUCCUCAGACGAAUCAAACGGAACGAGUGAACCGUGAACUAGUAAGAACCAUUGCCUCAUACGUGCGUUCUGAUCACCGUAACUGGGAUAAGAACGUAUCGGAAAUACAAUGUGCAUUGAAUACAGCUCGUCACGGAGUAACUAAAAAUACACCGUAUUUCCUAACACAUGGUCGUCAAAUGAUUCUAGAUGGUUCCCUUUAUAAUAGCGAAGGUCCCAUAGAUCAAAACGCGCUCGAAUUAGAUACCAGUGGUGCUUUUUCUGAAAGACUUAAAGAGCUCAAAACUGUAUUUCAAAAAGUGCGUAACUCGUUGAUUGCCUCCCAUGAACGUAAUGCUAGGUAUUAUAACAUGAGGAAGCGUCACGUAGAACUGGAAGAAGGACAAAUCGUUUAUAAAAGAUGUUUCCCAUUGUCAAAUGCAGCAAAACAUUUUUCUGCUAAAUUAGCGCCCCGUUAUGACAAAUGUGUCAUUCAUAAAAAAUUGAGUCCUCUUGUUUACUCUUUAAAAUCCUUAGAAGGAAAACUUCUAGGUAACUUCCAUAUAAAAGACAUUGUACGUCCUGGUGAAGCCGAGCCGUCUUCCUAGCGGUACUCGUCUUAACACCAAUUGGAUACUUACACUUGAGAAUAUCCUAUGUGAUACUAAAUAUUGAACGUACCUACUAAACUGAAGGCGACCUGGCACAAGCUGGUUUUCAUCAGACUGGGUAUUUGUUCCAUGUUUUUGUUUUUAUUGGUACCGGGUGCACACGGACCAACAUUAAUCUUUCAUGUGUCCUUAUAAAGACAUAAAACUUUAAAUAAUCUGAAUAAACUGCAGAAACUUACUUUACUUAUAAACCCUAAACGGGCCUAUUACAUGAAAUAUUAUUAAUUAUUGAAAAAGGGACUACGUUCUCGCUAAACUGUACUGUAACUGAACUUUUGUUUGUAAUUUUAGGAAUUGUGUAAUAGCUAGAGAAUGUAGCUUGUUACAUAUUUCCACUACUGUCGGUGAUAGGCAAUUUCUUUAAUAAAGGGAAGGUUGUUAACGUUGCCGUCUUUGACGUUUUCUUUUAGGUUUAGGAAAGCGCGCACUAGGAAUAAGAAGGUUCGAACCAAAAUUAGUCAUUAGAUUUCCUUGGUCGAACUGAUCAUUCACCAAGUCAUAGGUAUAACUUUGGUUGUAAGACUUGUUUUUCUUUAUAGAUUAUCUAUGGUUUCUUAUUUACGUUUCGUAGGUUAAGGUGUUCACUUCCUAUUGGGCGUAUAGCAUUAAAAAAAAAAUUUUUUUUGAAAAAAAAAAUUUUUUUUAACCCAACUAAAGAUGAACUGUAACACUUUGGGGUAUCCACCCAGUGUUAUAAACAGCUGAGUAGCAUAUUAUAUAGGUACUUUAUAGGUUAGAAAAUGGUAUGUUUGUUUUGGUAAGAUUUGGUAGUUGAAAUGUCUUCGACACGGAUGUCAUAGUGGGUCAGUCAAGGACUGAGACCUGUAGUGAUAUUUUCAACUUUACCUAUACGCUUUUAGCUAUAUUGAGUGGACAAAACUUACCGGAGCGGUAGGUCAGUCUGUGCGUUCAGUCCGUUGCAUUUUGCGCAUCCAUGUCGUGUUCCUGCGUUGUGCUAGGACACAGGCACUUUGUUUUCGUUGUGGUAUAUACAUUUCACAAUUGAAACACCUUUUAAAACAUAGAAAUACCACGUAUUAACAGUAUGAUUUCGAUAAAACCGAGCAGUUGUUUAUUUCAGCGGUAGACACUGACGGCUGUCAAUGUCAUUUGGUUUUUUUGUCCAUGGUUCCGUAACAGAUGGUCGGUCACACUUGUUGUACGACAAUAAACAUAUACUUGUGGUUCUUUUAUCUUUUUAUAAUUUCCAAUUAUUAAUAAAGUCCGUAUUAUUUGCUUCCCAAAAUGAGUAACUCUUUUUAUUGUUGAUGUUUCGAAUUAUUCCGAGGGUCAAACCGGUCAGUCGCCGUAUCCAUUGAAUGGGUAGGUUUUCAUUCAUCAGUUUGUCUAUGGUUUCUCGGAUUGGAAUUUUGAUAAAUCAUUGUUCGAUCGAUCUUCAAGAUGUGAAGGAUAUUAGAAAAUCUUUCGGCAAUCAAUCUUAGGGGUAUGUAACCUACUUGAAGGUUUUAUUUCCUAAAACUGUGGUAAAUUCAAGUUAGUAAUCGUUAAUGUAAUUUUGUUACAGCUCGUCCCAAAAUGUGCAUAAUUUAGCGUCUUAGAGCCUACCUAAAAUGGCGGCUGCUAAUCUUUUUCCUUCAAUUUAACAUAACUUGCAAAACCUAAUGUAACGUCAACCACCUCUUCGUUUUGUCACGCGGUCUGCAGGCGCCGUCGUUGGUAUAGGAAAUAAUGGACCCGGCAUAAACCCCGGUAAGUCGUUUAAUCGCUUCAUUGCCGUAAUUUAAAUCGCGCUGUGCCUCAGUUUAAAAUAUAAUUUUUCUAUAAAACUAAACGUGUUAAAACAUAAUUUUUUUUAACCUAGAACAUUCUCUUUGUUCUUAGGGUUUUUUUCUGGACCCUGGUUUUUUCCUGGACCCUGGUUUUUUCUGGACCCUGGUUUUCUAAGGCUGUGCCAUCCGGUGGCAGCGUUCUUCUUGGCAGUGUCCGUGAAGUUAAGACUUUUAUGAUAUACCUUUAGUUAAAUAUGGACCCUUUAUGCUGAACAGGUAACCUGUAAUCCCUGUGAGCAAUUGCUUACUGCUAAACAUCCCCGGAGGUUGGGGCAUAAC